UUUAGGUUAUGUCAGGUGAUGGUGCGUACAGUUGACUUUCUUGCUACAAAAAUAGUUUUGUGCAAAAAUUCGUAAAAGAUGUGGUACGAAAUAAUUCCACCGCUGAUAAUAGUAGGAUUGGUACCAAUUGUACCUCAAUAUAUAUCCUACUACCUCAAUUCUUUUGUAUUCGGAAACCCGAUGCGUAGAAACAUGUGCGACAUUUGGGAUCGUCAUAUGUAUACAAGAGACUGGCGAACAGAUGGAGCGCCAUGGAAAAACAAGGGACUAGCUAAUGUUCCUGAUGACUAAGAUGUGUUUAUAAAAAUAAUAAAUUAAUAUAUAUAUGAACAUGUAGUUUAUGAUAUAUUAAAGAAUAAGUUGUAUUGUUCUGAAAAGUGUAAUUUACAUGUAAUUGAAGUAUACAUAUGAUAGGCAAAAUAUACAUCUAUAAAUUAUA